GGGAGAACUUGCGUUUUGUUGUCUUAGGAUUUCUUUGUGGUUUCUGUUCAUGAAUGUAUGCUUUCUUGGGCAGCUGACCAGAGUGGAUGGAAUGCAAAUGAGGGCAGGUGAUUCAUUACUGCACCCCAGUCACACCAUCUCCCCGUCACCCUCCAUGAAAUCUGCGAUAGGCUAUUCCUCACACUCCUGACAAGAGGAGCAAGAAAAACAGAGUUGCUGCACUCAGCCAGACAAGAUCACAGCUGGAACGAUGUGUUUCUCCCCAGCAGCUGGGAGUCAAGGGCGGGUGCUUUCCCAGCAUAUCUCUGUCACCUGCCAUUCUGUUGACACCUCCCCUGGUGUGUGCUUUGGAAUAUGGGCAUGUGCAUGGACUUCUGCAUUCUGUCUGCACUGACAGGGAUUUCUGAAAAUCACAUUAGGGGACUGUCAGACUCAGAGCUGCAGAGCCUCAGGGCAAACCCUGCUGUCUCUCUAUACCAGGGAUCUCAAACUCAGAUCCUGGAGAGCCACAGUGUCUGA